rnacentral:rRNA from 1 species
AACGCGAAGAACCUUACCUGGGUUUGACAUGCAGGGAAAUCUCAUAGAGAUAUGAGGUCCGCAAGGGCCUUGCACAGGUGGUGCAUGGCUGUCGUCAGCUCGUGUCGUGAGAUGUUGGGUUAAGUCCCGCAACGAGCGCAACCCUCGUUCUAUGUUGCCAGCACGUAAUGGUGGGGACUCAUAGGAGACUGCCGGGGUCAACUCGGAGGAAGGUGGGGAUGACGUCAAGUCAUCAUGCCCCUUAUGUCCAGGGCUGCACACAUGCUACAAUGGCCGGUACAAAGGGCUGCGAUACCGCAAGGUGGAGCGAAUCCCAUAAAGCCGGUCUCAGUUCGGAUUGGGGUCUGCAACUCGACCCCAUGAAGUCGGAGUCGCUAGUAAUCGCAGAUCAGCAACGCUGCGGUGAAUACGUUCCCGGGCCUUGUACACACCGCUCGCGA